rnacentral:rRNA from 1 species
CAAUAGCGUAUAUUAAAGUUGUUGCAGUUAAAAAGCUCGUAGUUGGAUUUCUGGUGGGAGCGAUUGGUCUGGCGCUUAGCGCGAGUACUUGCAUCGUCUCCGGCCAUCCUUGGGGAGAGUCUGUCUGGCAUUAAGUUGUCGGGCAGAGGAUCCUCAUCGUUUACUGUGAAAAAAUUAGAGUGUUCAAAGCAGGCUUAUGCCGUUGAAUAUAUUAGCAUGGAAUAAUAAGAUAGGACUUUGGUACUAUUUUGUUGGUUUGCGCACCAAAGUAAUGAUUAAUAGGGACAGUUGGGGGUAUUCGUAUUCCGUUGUCAGAGGUGAAAUUCUUGGAUUUACGGAAGACGAACUACUGCGAAAGCAUUUACCAAGGAUGUUUUCAUUAA